GCCCCUAUAGCUCAGUAGGUAGAGCGUCUCCAUGGUAAGGAGAAGGUCAGCAGUUCGAUUCUGCUUGGGGGCU
rnacentral:tRNA from 2 species